UGAGGUGUGGUUUAAUAGGUAGUGCAUGCCUACCAAGCAUGAGGCCCUGAGUUCAAAUCCUAGUACCACCA
rnacentral:tRNA from 1 species